rnacentral:rRNA from 1 species
GACCAGCCAUGCCGCGUGGAGGAUGAAGGUCCUCUGGAUUGUAAACUUCUUUUCUCUGGGACGAAACCCCCGAUUUCCAUCGGGCCUGACGGUACCAGAGGAAUAAGCACCGGCUAACUCCGUGCCAGCAGCCGCGGUAAUACGGAGGGUGCAAGCGUUAUCCGGAUUCACUGGGUUUAAAGGGUGCGUAGGCGGGUUUGUAAGUCAGUGGUGAAAUCCCCGAGCUUAACUUGGGAACUGCCAUUGAUACUGCAAGUCUUGAAUUUUCUGGAGGUAAGCGGAAUAUGUCAUGUAGCGGUGAAAUGCUUAGAUAUGACAUAGAACACCCAUUGCGAAGGCAGCUUACUACGGGAAUAUUGACGCUGAGGCACGAAAGCGUGGGGAUCAAACAGGAUUAGAUACCCUGGUAGUCCACGCCCUAAACGAUGAUUACUCGACAUUAGCGAUAUUACAGUUAGUGUCUAAGCGAAAGCAUUAAGUAAUCCACCUGGGAAGUACGACCGCAAGGUUGAAACUCAAAGGAAUUUGACGGA